AUGGGAACGCGAAGAACCUUACCUAGACUUGACAUCUUCUGCAUUAAUCGUAAUGGAUGAAAUCCCUUCGGGGACGAGAAUGACAGGUGGUGCAUGGUUGUCGUCAGCUCGUGUCGUGAGAUGUUGGGUUAAGUCCCGCAACGAGCGCAACCCUUAUUACUAGUUGCUACCAUUAAGUUGAGCACUCUAGUGAGACUGCCCGGGUUAACCGGGAGGAAGGCGGGGAUGACGUCAAAUCAUCAUGCCCCUUAUGUCUAGGGCAACACACGUGCUACAAUGGUGAGUACAGAUAGAUGCGAUACCGCAAGGUGGAGCCAAACUCUAAAACUCAUCCCAGUUCGGAUUGUAGGCUGCAACUCGCCUACAUGAAGUUGGAGUUGCUAGUAAUCGCGAAUCAGAAUGUCGCGGUGAAUACGUUCCCGGGUCUUGUACACACCG
rnacentral:rRNA from 1 species